UAUCACGGUCGUUGUGAGGUCUUCAAGAUCGUGAAGAGCGUGGCCAACUUUGAACAUGUUCAAAACAAUCGUGGUGCGGUCGUGGCGAAAUCAGGUCGUAGUAGAAGCGUAGUGAGAGCGCACUAAGAUCGUAGUAAGAUCGCAAAGGUCGCUGUACAAUCGUAGUGAGAGCGUAGCGAAAGCGUGAUUCUAUUCGGAGAGACUGCGCUACGAUCGCACAGCGA
rnacentral:lncRNA from 1 species